rnacentral:rRNA from 1 species
UACGGGGGGGCAAGCGUUGUUCGGAAUUACUGGGCGUAAAGGGCUCGUAGGCGGCCAGCUAAGUCAGACGUGAAAUCCCUCGGCUUAACCGGGGAACUGCGUCUGAUACUGGAUGGCUCGAGUGUGGGAGAGGGAUGCGGAAUUCCAGGUGUAGCGGUGAAAUGCGUAGAUAUCUGGAGGAACACCGGUGGCGAAGGCGGCAUCCUGGACCACGACUGACGCUGAGGAGCGAAAGCCAGGGGAGCAAACGGG